GCCUUAAUUUCUGACAUGUUUACUUUGACAUUUCCAAUAGCUUAAGUACCAGAUACAAAAGAAAAAAAAUUACUUUUAGCAUACACAACUCAAAAUGGAAAAAUACUGUUAUUUCUUUAGCUUUAUUUUUGCUGUUUAUCCAGGUUUAAUAACAAGUGAUUCAGUCACCAAUAAUAAAAGGGAUGUCGUAGGCACAGAAGGCAGGACUGUGACACUCCAGUGCAGCUACUCAACAAGUAACAGCUAUACUUAUCUCUUUUGGUACCGAAAAUAUCUAAGUGAAGCCAUGCAAUAUAUUCUGUUUAAAGGAACCCGGUCAGUGAAUACUGAUGAAGAUACUGCAGCCUUUGCUCAGGAACGGUUUUCUUCAACAGCAGGACAAGAUUUUACUAUACUCACAAUUUCUUCUCUCUCUUUGAGUGACUCUGCCAUCUACUACUGUGCGUUGCAGUCCACAAUGUUUCAUUCUGCUGAAGCACUAAGCAAAAACUGCAUAACCACAGAUGGUAGAGAGCAAUUUUAAGCAAAAUAAUGUGGCCAAUUAACCACCAACAUCUGACAGUAAACAUCAAAAAAAGAAGCAAAU